rnacentral:lncRNA from 1 species
GAAUCUUAGAAGUUUGACUAGCAUAGUUUAUUUAUUUGUUAUUAACACCUAAAUUAAAUUAUUCUCAAUGUAUAGUUACAAACACAUUUAGUCUUCCUAAUAAAAUUCAUUUAUAUUAAUUAAAUUUAUAUUUUAUACUUUGAAAUAAAAUUUCAUAGAAUCCUAACUUAAUAUCAAUGAUUUAAUAUAUACAUAGAAAUAUAUUUUACUUUUAGUUUUAAUUCAUCUUUGGUUUAUUUCUUAUAUUAAGAAAGGAAUUUAUCUAAUCAAAACAAAGUUUAAGAGGUUUGACUUAGUCAAGUUAAAC